rnacentral:rRNA from 1 species
GUGUCAGCCGCCGCGGUAAUACGUAGGUGGCAAGCGUUGUCCGGAAUUAUUGGGCGUAAAGGGAGCGCAGGUGGGAAUGUAAGUCAAUCUUAAAAGUGCGGGGCUCAACCCCGUGAUGGGAUAGAAACUACAUUUCUUGAGUGCAGGAGAGGAAAGUGGAAUUCCUAGUGUAGCGGUGAAAUGCGUAGAUAUUAGGAGGAACACCAGUGGCGAAGGCGACUUUCUGGACUGUUACUGACACUGAGGCUCGAAAGCUAGGGGAGCGAACGGGAUUAGAUACCCCCGUAGUCC